UUGAAAGGGAAACGAUUGAAGUCAGUCGUACUAACGGGGAAUCAACCUUUUGAGGGUGGACUUGUGGGAUUCAGAGAGCCUUUGUCUUUCACAGCCUGCCUUUUUUGGGUGCAAUUUGUCGUAUUGUAGGUCAGCAUCGGUUUCGACCGUUAUAAAAUGACUGGAGGAAUGUAGCUUCGAUCUCGUAUUGAAGUGUUAUAGCCUUUGGUAGAUGUAACGGAUGGGAUCGAGGAUUGCAAUGAAUGCCCUCAUGGGCUAUCCGCCUGGCCUCUGACAUGUCACUCUGGUGCCGAAAGCUUGCUUAUGGUGUUAUAGUGUACGGUCAAAAGGUUAGAACGGAUUAAAUUCGUUAAGGAUGUUGACGUA
rnacentral:rRNA from 1 species